CAGCAUUCUCUCUCUCUCACGACCAAAUCAUCUUCUCUCCUUCUCUCGUGACUCUUCGACGACUCCGACUCCAUCCAGUGAUUGGUCUCGUUUAAGAGGCCGAGGAGGGUGAGAGGAUGAUGAUGAUGAUGGAAAGAAUCUUCGAGAGAGCUUCUGGUUUCUCUAAGAACUUGAUUCUCAGAUUCUCGGCGUCGCGGUUUCACGGCGAGUCCCUCGAUUCCUCCGUCUCACUCGUUCUCAUUCCCUGCGUCCAUGUCUUCCAUUGCCAGUUGGAAUCGUGGCAAAGAUAACAGAUUGUAUAUAUUCCUCCUUCUGAUGAAGACAAGUCUUGAGAGUGGAACUUGAUAUGAAAGUCGAAAGCUUUUGAUAGUGAAUCACAGAUUGCAAUAGAUUUGGUGAUGAAAAGAUGGUUUCUUUGACAGUGAGUUUAUAUUUGAUCCGGUGAAAUGGUCGAGACACCAAGUGGGUGAAGAAGAUUUUCAAGCUAUUGCGCAAACAUACGGUGCCAUGAACUCGGUUGUGCGUGUGCCUUCUAUAGAUCCCAAGUAUAAGAUACAUUUUCUUAUGGCAGAUUUUAUCGGCUAAGUUAUGGAAAAGAUGUAAUCAACAUUCACCAUGGUCUCUUGCCAUCAUUCAAGGGCAGAUAUCCAACAAAAUAGGCCUUUGAUGCAGGUGUGAAGCUGAUUGGAGCAACAAGCCACUUUGUUACUGAGGAACUUGAUGCAGGGCCUAUCAUUGAACAAAUGGUAACUUUGUCUGCCAACUAUUUGAUUAGUACCUUCUACAAGAUGAUUGUAAACCAUUAGCGAACGUGUAGACUGUGGAGUUACACUAGGGUUAGUGGUAAAAUGAAGAUUAUGGGGAUUGUGAAGAAGCACGUUACAGUUAAAAUGAACUGCACGAUGGAUGUGACUGUGAACAUCCCGCGACGACACGCCAUCAAGAUGUCGAGUGCAACUGCAAGAACAAUAUCGAUCUUUAAGUUUUUGGUUUCCACAUUAGGAUUUGCCUCAACGUUCUUAAUAGUUUCAUUACCAAAUUAUUUGGUCAUUUGAUUAUAACAGCACCAUGUACAAGUGUGUUUUGACUUU